GAGGGGCGGAUCCCUCCAACCUGACGGCGAAACGUUUCCUAGACGUUGUCGUUGCUGAUAAGAAACUACGUUUCCCAGAAUGCAGCGAGGGUAGCGACCGGGCUACAUAAUAGAGACAGGUUUUCACCAUGUUGGCCAUGCUGGUCUCGAAUUCUGACCUCAAGUGAUCCGCCCGCCUCGGUCUUUCAAACUGCUGGGAUUACAGGCGUGAGUCAUCGCGCCCAGCCUUUACAGAAGUUCUUUCUACCGUCCAUCAACCAUUGCCACCACACCUUCUGCUUACAAGUUAUUUAUAAUAAGUUUGACUAAAAGAGAACAAGAGAACAUCCCCUGAAACCCAAAGUAUGUCAUUCUAUACAGCUUUCUCACCUGCGAAAGAGGAGGAGCAGACUCAUGCUGCAAAUCACCUAAAAAGUUUGAGGAUCAAAAAGUCUAGCUCCAGUUUCAGAUCCUCCCUCGACCUUUCUGAACACUAGUUUCUUCCUCUGAAAAACGAAAGAGGGAAUGGGACCGUAGAGUGGAGUGGGCACAAGAAUCGCAAGUUCCUUCAGGCUAUGAUGCUGCAAGACUCUAGGUACAGUUUAGGACUCUGGGCAUUCAGAUCCCCAGGACUUGUCAAGUUCUCCUCAUUGAAAUUUUUGAUAUUUUGUGACAACAGAAAUUCAUCACAUUUUUGUGCUGUGUGUUAUAUGUGGGAAGGAGAUUUCAAAAAGAUUGCCUUUUGAAGUUAUUGGAUAGCUGUGUUACAGAAGAAAAGACGUUUAUUUCAUUUUUGACUUUCCAAGAAAAGAAUAUGUAACACAUCAGAAUUCUUCUCUCCUCCCUGGCCUUAGUCGAGUACCUGAGGGGCUUUAAAGGGCUUCGUCCUUGCAAUCACUUACCCAGCAUAGUCCUUAAUACAGAUAUCUUCAGUGUUGAAUGAAUGAA